CCUACGGGUGGUAGCAGUGAGGAAUCUUUCUCAAUGGACGAGAGUCUGAACCAGCCACGUAGCGUGCAGGAUGACUGCCCUAUGGGUUGUAAACUUCUUUUAUAUGGGAAUAAAAUGUUCCACGUGUGGGAUUUUGUAUGUACCAUAUGAAUAAGGCACGGCUAACUCCGUGCCAGCAGCCGCGGUAAUACGGAGGAUCCGAGCGUUAUCCGGACUUAGUGGGGUUAAAGGGUGCGUAGGUGGAUUGGUAAGUCAGUUGUGAAAGUUUGCGGCUCAACCGUAAAAUUGCAGUUGAAACUGGCAGUCUAGAGUACAGUAGAGGUGGGUGGAAUUCGUGGUGUAGCGGUGAAAUGCUUAGAGAUCACGAAGAACUCCGAUUGCGAAGGCAGCUCGCUGGACUGCAACUGACACUGAGGCUCGAAAGUGUGGGGAUCAAACAGGAUUAGAUACCCCUGUAGUC
rnacentral:rRNA from 1 species